rnacentral:rRNA from 1 species
GACGAACGCUGGCGGCGCGCUUAACACAUGCAAGUCGAACGGAAAGGCCUGCUUUCCCUUGUGGAUUGCGGGUACUCGAGUGGCGAACGGGUGAGUAACACGUGAGUGAUCUGCCCCCAACUUGGGUAUGAGCCUGGGAAACUGGGUCUAAUUCCCGAUAGGACUGCAGGGUGGUGCCUGUGGUGGAAAACGAUUUUCUAGUGGUUGGGGAUGAGCUCGCGGCCUAUCAGCUUGUUGGUGGGGUAAUGGCCUACCAAGGCGGCGACGGGUAGCCAGCCUGAGAGGGUGGACGGCCACAUUGGGACUGAGAUACGGCCCAGACUCCUACGGGAGGCAGCAGUGGGGAAUAUUGCACAAUGGGCGGAAGCCUGAUGCAGCGACGCCGCGUGGGGGAUGACGGCCUUCGGGUUGUAAACUCCUUUCGACCGCGAGGAAGCCACCUGGUUGGAAGGGUGGUGACGGUAGUGGUAGAAGAAGCACCGGCUAACUACGUG